rnacentral:lncRNA from 1 species
UCUCCCCUCACUUUUCUCUUUUCCUCCCGAUUCUCUCUCCUCCCACCCGAUUUUCUUCUCCCUCCGCCCGGAAACUUCACCACCGCCGUCCGCCGCCGUCCGGCCACCACCGACCGCCAGACUGGUCCCGUUCGGACCCUUGCCUCUUCCUCUCUCAUCCUGGACCGGUGCACGCGUGCGGAACGCCGCCGUGAAGGAGCAGUCAACCCCGAAAGGUUCGACUGCCGGAAAGGGUUUUUCGCCGGAGCUCCGUCUUCCGGCCACCAUAGGUCGUGAUUUUUGGCUCAACCUGUAGCCCUCAUCUAGGUGAGUAAUCCUUCAAAAGGUUUCGGCUAAAUUCGAUUUCGUUAGGGUGGUUUGUAUAAUUGAAAGUUUUAGGGAUUUAUGGAUGUUUUUAGUCGAUUGCCCUAGUUAGGCUUGGAAUUGGUGUUUGUGCUAGUUAUGAAAGUUGUAGAGCUUGAUGAGAGGAUUAUUCUGUCAAAAUUUCAUAGGUUUUGGAGGUCGCCGGAAUUGGCCUCCUGCCGCCGCUGCCGGCGGAGCUACCGGCGGCGCCGCCGCCGGUUAGGAAAUUUUUAGGGUUUUAAGUGUGGAAUAUUAAGAGGAGUUUAUUGAUGUGAUUUAUGGAAUUUUUGGAUGAGAUUUGGAUAGGUUUGUGAAUUUCCGAAGUUUGGAUUUUUGGCGGUUAAUUAAUGUAGAAUCCGACCGUAGGAUUUAAGUCGUAAUUUGGGGAGGUUGUAUUUACGACUGUUGAGUAUGAUAUUUAAGUUCGGAUCGUUCCGAUUUAAGAAUAUCGAAGUUAGGCAUUGAUGAGCGUAUUUAUGGCUCUCUGGUAAUUUUGCCUAUUUUGAUUAAAUAUUGGAUUAUUGGUUGGGAAAUUAAUAUUAUAUUUGGAACAGGACGUGAGGAGGCUCGAGCAGACGAGGCCCCAGAUCGACAUCAGGCUUAGGCCAAAUUUGUGAUUGGACGUUUAUUUUAAAUAAAUGCAUGCUAUGGUUCAUGGUUGAACAAUUAAUGUUGCGGAAUAUUUUAACGUCAUUUUAAUUUGACGAUUUUUAUUUCUCUUGGAGAGUUACCGAAAAUGGGAUUUUCGGUGGAUAUAAAUAUGUAUUUAUGAGAGAGUAUGUAUAUAAAUGCUAGCUAGCCAUAUGUGUCUGUCCACCUUAAUGGCGUAGCAUAUAGCCGCAUUAUGGUGUGACGUGAGCGUUGGACGUAAGCGUAGUAGCCCUAUUUGAGUGUUUAAUUCAUAUAGGGGGUAUGGACACAUAUUUAUACACCCGUCUGUCCACCUUGAUGGCGUAGUGUAGCACCGCAUUAAGGCGUGACGUGAGCGUUGGACGCGAGCGUAGUAGCCCUAUAUAGACCCAUGAAUUUAUAUAGGGAGUAUGGACGAGUGUAAAUACAUACAUAUAUUAUAGAGUCUGAGAGGCUCGAUAUUUUAUGGGAUAAAAUUUUUAUCGCUUGCGGUAUGCAUUCGAUUUUUCCUUAGAAAUUAAUUUGGGGAAACAUAAAUAUUUUAUUUAUUAUUUUAUUUUUGUCCACUCACUCUAACGUUAUUAAAUGUUUUCCCCUGGGCCCUUCGUUUUAAAUUGCCCAGUCUGCAGAGUUCGGGUUGGAUCUAGUAGGAGACGAGGCAUAGUCACCCGCAUUUCUGCCAGUUUUCGUCAGUAGGUUACCUGUUCAACCUACUCGUGUUUUCUUUCUUCCGCUUGUGUUUAGUAGCUCUGAAUACUUUGGGAUUAUUGUAUAUUAUGUGUAGAAUUUCUGAAGGAUGAUUAUGUGAUGUUCGGAAGUGUUGAAUUAAGAGUGUAAUAUGAAAUUUUUGAGUUAGGGUUGUCCAUCUGCAAGGGAGAUUUGCUUAAUCUUUUCAGUAAAUUUUCCUUGGAGGUGGUCCCCGCACGACUUACUCCGGGUUUUUGGGUGAAAUUUGGGGUGGGUCGUGUCACACAGGACAACAAAGUCAUGGUAAGGACAUAGCGGAGCUCAAGAAGCAAAUGGGUCAAGUAGUGGACUUCAUGGGAAGAAUAACUGAAUGUGGAAAGUUUCCACCCAACACCGUUCCGAAUCCCAACUUUGAAAGACUCUAAACAUUAAGCGCUGUUUGGGAGGACCUAAUUCAACACAGAUUUGCUUUCUUCUCUCUUCUUCUCUUUUAUUUAUGUUUUUGUGUGCUUUGUUUGUUUUUCGUGACUCUUUCUUCCCAUACUUUGAUUCUAUGCUUAAUCUUGUGUUACAUUAUGGACAAUGUUGGGUUUCAAUGUGGGGGAAGGAUUUACAUCUUUUUGUGUCUUUUAUUGAAAAAUAAAAUCAAAAAUCAAAAAAUUUGAAAAUCUAAAAAUAAUUUUUGUUUUCUGUUUUAGUCUUUUGUUUUGUUUUUGAGUCUUAGGAGCCCUUAACUGUACGUCUAUGAUGAGUGAUAAUCUCUGAAAUUAUGGAUAAGAUCACAAGAUGAUUUCUAACUAAUAUUCAGUUGUUAAUUGACAUGAAUAGAAAUCAUGUGAAAUGUAGUGGAUAUGAUUUGAAUCUUUGGUACAGAAAUGAGCAUGCUAAGACAAGUUUUUGAUUCAUAUGACCUUAAAUGUGAGCUUGUGAGCAUAUUUGUGUCAUUCUUUCUAAGUGAUAAUUGAAAUAUUCUGAUUCGUUUUCUUGGCUAUAAUUUUUCGAAAACCUCAUUAUUGUUUUAGUUUGAUUGAUUGCUCACCACAGCUUUUAAUGAAUUCUAGAUGACUAGAACUCACUCUUGUGGACUUUCGAAACUUUUAAUCAUAAAACGCUCUGAUUUUGAAAAGGAUAAAUGAAACUUUUUAGGAUGAUCACCAUUGCCAAACAAGCUUGUGCCCCUAUUUGUGUGUGUUGCACACCCCUUAGUUUAAACCUCUUUGAGCCUACGUUAAGUCUUUUCUUUCAUCACCAAUACAAUUUUUAUGUUGAUCUUAGUACAGUGAUAUCUCUACCCUUGUCCUUUCGGCUUAGUAGAGCAAUUGUGAUAUAUUGUAUGAAGUGAUGUUGUGAAACAAGUGUGGGGGAGUUGAAUGUCUGUGUAAAAGAAAAUGCCGUGAAAAGCAUAAAAGAAAACAAAAUUUCGGCAGAAAAAUAAAAAGAAAAAAAUGGACAUUGUCUUUGUGUUGUGAAAUGGGAGUUUUGGUUGUAAGUGGAAGGCCCAAAAACAGAAUAUUUGGCCUUUGUUCUUUUUCACAAUGUUUGAAGGUGUUUAGAAUGACGAAGGGCCCAACAAGAUGACAUUUGGCCCUUGCUUUGGCGACAUAAGGCAUGUUUGAAUGCUCUGCUAGGUCAUUAGGAAUUGUGCAAUUCCUUACUCUUCAAUUCAUAACCCUAGCCUAGCCAAAUUAAUACCUUUUAAAGUUCCUUUUGAUCUAAAAGAUGAGUAAACCUUGAUCUGUGGAGUUUGUUCCAAGAGUUGAGCCUAUGGUGUGGUUCAUUUGUGUGAGUAAUUGAUUCUUUCAUGAGGUUUAUAUCUGCUCUAUUGUGCUUUUGUUCAUAUAAAUGCAAGCUUUCUGAUUCUAUCUUGCAACUAUCGAGUGAUUUAGACAGAAAAUCUAAGUGAAAAAUGAGUGCAUAUCUUGUGAGAAUGAAUCAUACUUAUUUGAAACAUGCUGAGCUUAAAUAUCACCAUUAUUCUAUCAGGUCCUACAUGUAAAUAUGUGAUCUAUACAUGACAAUUAGCUUUUGAAACUUCAUGGAAUGAUUCUUGAUUAAGUGCUAAUUUUGAUGUCAUGAGAUUGGAGAUUCUGAGACAAUAUGUUAUGGGCAAUAGAGUUAAUUGUUUGUUGAGUCUUGUAGUUGUGUAGUUUCUGGUUUGUGUGUUUUGAGUCUUUUUGAUUGAUUUUGCCAAGAGACUAGCAAAAGCUAAGUGUGGGGGAAUUUGAUAGGUGCAUUUUAUGCAACGUUCUUAAUGUAUUUCUGACCCUAUUUAGCUAUAUAAUUCCUUUAACAAUAUUGAUUUUAACUUAGUUUGUGUUUUUAGGUUGCAAAUAAAGCCGAGGAGCACAAAAGAAACAUAUGAGGAGAAAUCUUGAAGGAAGAGGAAUCCAUAUGGCGCAAGGAAAGAAAUCAGAAAAUCUGUCAAGAAUAGUUAGUCAACUUCGACAGAGUAUUGUGAUCAGCUCACAAUGAUCCAGGAGAUAAACCUUAUAUCAACGGAAAGCUAGAAGAGUCUAGUUUCCAGAAAUUUUUGCGGAUCGUCAAUAGCUAUUUUGGAGAAGACGUUAUGACUGUUUGAGUGACCAAAGGUCAGUCUGCCCGAAUUUCUGAUUUGGACCGAAACUUCAAUUUCAAGGCCCUGACCACAACGGCGAGCCCAUGGACGAAAAUUAAAGGUUCUCUAACCCUAAUAGCAGCUGUUCAUAUGUUCUCUAUAUGUAUGAGGAGAUGUGAAAAAGGGGUCGCUCUUUGCCACAGAAAAACAACGUCUUUCAUCUCCUUCAGAAAUUCUUCUCGAAACACAAACCCUAAUUUUAGGACUUCUCUUGACGUGCCAUCUCCUUUGUAAUCCUCGGUGUAGUUCCUUGUUUCAAUACAAAGUGUAAUCUAAACUCAGACCUCAUGUUUUCUUUUACUAUCUAUUCAAUUACUUUAGUUUGUUUUCAUCUCUCUUAUUCGUUUGUGUUCAUGAGUUGGAUUUUUGAUUGAGUUUGUUCUUAUAAUCAUGAAAAUCAGAUCUGUACACUUGAGUUGUUUGUGUAAUUGAUGAUGCUUUUGAUGAUCUAAAUUGUGUUUAUGUGUGAUUGACAACUUAUGACUUGUUAUUAAUCAAUAUGUGCCAUUGUUUGUGUUAAGUCCGCGUCGGUAAACAUGAACUAGAAUGGUAAGGAGUUAUAGGUUGCAUGCUAGGAUGUUUUUGAAGUCCGCGUCGGUGAAUUACAUUCUAACAAGUUCAAGUUCUUCCUCUGAUCUAUUUUAGAUAUGAAGUCCGCGUCGGUACAUAUCUAUGAGAAGUUAGAAGGAUUUUAAGUAGUUAAGUCCCCGUCAGUAAAUUACUUGAAAUAUGGAAUUUGAUUCGUUUCUCCAUAUGCAUGAUUUAGGUUGUUAGGGUUGAAAUUGCAUAGCUACUUGAUUAUAUGAAUCUGAUUUAGUGUUUUCUUUUAUAUAGUAGCUUAGGUUUUUGUUUCUUUAUAGUUUAGGAUUUUCGUCACUCUUCUGUCCCCUGUUUUAUUUUAUUUUAUUUUCAUAUCAAACGAUCUCCGAUCCCCUUGAAAAUUUCUACAGUUGUUCCUCUGUGUGUCUAAUAUAUCUCUGUAAAUUUUCGUAUUUUUCUGAGUAGUUUGGGUUAGGUUUUUAAUUAGGUUUUCAACUACUAUUCAUUAGAAACAGUAGCUACUUUUGUAAAUUGUUUAAAGAUUUUAUUACUUGUUAAUAUUAGUCAUGUUUUACUAACGUUUUGUUUUGCAAGGUACCCUCAAUCCCCGGCCCUAUACGAUACCCUUAUUUACCUUAUGCUACUGACGAUAAAAAGGGUUUAUUUGAUGCAGGUUUUGCACCCGUCACCCGAGAUGGCUCACAAAGUCAGGUAUGAAUUUGUGGAUUUGCAGUAGUUUGUGAGUUGAUCCAUUGUGACUCUUAGAUCAAUGUUUACAGUAUCGUCCUUUUUUGGAUGGAUUACAUUGGAAUUUAGUUGUGGGAAAGUUCGAUUACACUAGUUUGUCAGCUACCGACAUUAUGUUUCUGGUAGGAACCUAUAUAUGGAAGAGAUACUCCGCCAAAAAAAGGCACCAAAUAUUCCGACAAGCGCAUAUUGGCCCCUUUAGAGUCAAUGCCGAUAGAGAAGAGACUGACAAGAGACUUGUCCUCUUUGUUUAUGACAUAGAGACGGACUUGCAACUGAGCGAAACCAUCGUUGAUAGUGCUAGUGGCUGCAUCUUUACCACAUGUGAGGACACUCCGACCGGAAAGGUUCGUCAAUGACAACAUUAUAACAUUGUUUGCUGACUAUCUAUGGCAAGACCUAGAGGAGGCAAUAGUGUUUACUUUACAGCCUAUUUCUGUCGGAAGACGAUGCAGUGCAGUAAAGAGUUAUCUUCAAGACAUGUUGUCAAUGGUGUAAGUUUGAAGGAGUUAGGUGUGAGAAGAUUUUACAAUGACAUUCCUACAUGCAAAAAGGUAUGUCACGACAUAAAACAUUGGUACCUGUUGGUGGUGCGUCUUGAUGUCCAAAUAGCUGAAAUGUGGGAUAGCUUGGGAUGUAGCAGGAGACGGAAGAAUCAGUGCAAAACCGUUGUCAAUUGUUCAUGUUUUAUUCUAAACAAAACAAAAUGACUCUUAAGCCUUGUAUUCAGUUUAUGUUAUUGGGAUCGUGCCUAAUGUUUAAUGACUGUAGCUCCAAGGACUUGACAUGAUUUACAGAAGUGUGAAAUUCACUACGAAACCCUUCGGGCCGGAGGCAAAAAAGUUUGCAGACUUCACCCUCGAUGAGCCAGCUCAUUCCCCAAAACAGGAGGGUGGAGCUGAUUGUGGGAUUUUUACAAUCAAACACAUGCAGAACUAUGGAUCAGAGUGGUGGCAUAAGGUAACCAAAAUGUCUCUUUCAGUCUUACACUUAAAUUGUAUGGCAGGAUGGUACUUGAAUCUAAAAUGGACUUUCUAAAACAAUGUAGUUUGAUUCGCACACUAUUCGCAUGGAAUUAACCAUUGACUUGGUGAGGAGCAAAUUCAACAAGUGCUAGAAAUGGAUCAAGAAAACCAUCAACGCUCCCUAAUGUAAGUGGAUCGUAGGUCAUUUUUAGGCUUUUUAAUCCCUAAUGUAGAUCAGUACUGAUAGUUUUGUAGAUCAUGUGGGUUAUCAAGUUAACGCUUGACUGAACCAAGAACAAUGAUAUUGAUAUGGUGUUACAUGUUUCACGUAUUUUACGUACUGAUAUUGAUGUUACCUGUUUCACGUAUUUUACGUACUAAUAUUGGUGUUACCAGUAUAAUCACUUGUCAUGUAUAUUGGUGUACAUAUGAUACUGCACAAAAGUAAGAAAAAACAUCCAAGCAAUAAACUGGCCUGCACAACCCACUGCUGAACUUAGAUUACACUUUAUUAUGCCAACCACGAUAAUGACUCAGUCUCAUCUAAAUAGAGUAGUUACAUCCAUAGAGCACUUGCUUAGUGAAAAUCAUCAAUAUCUAGAGAGAAUUCAGGGUCUAAAGGCCACCACCAAUAGCCUGCUGGAGGGGAAUUGGAAUUCCUGUCUUCAAAGUGAUGCAUUUCAUGUUCCCAGUAGCACAAUCCACAACUGCAUCUCUUUACGUUGUUUGGUCCAACGUUGUACAAGUGUGCGAAAGUGCCGCAUGGUCUUUUAGUAACAUCGGCUAUAUGUGUGCAAAAUCCUUCUAUCGUAGCAGAACACUGAUGAGUUUGCAUGGGGUUGACUUCCUUCUCCAGAACAACUUGAUGCUCCACAUCUGGUUUGGGGCUUAGUUGGUGUUGGCUUGCUUCUUCGACAUCCACCAUAGCAUUUUUCAGAACAGCUUCAUGCUCCACAUAUGAUUCUUUUAGCAGGUUAGACAUCUUUCAACGAAAAGGUUGUGGUCACUGAAGCACUCUUAUAUACAAACGUAUUAGGUGGGAAUUGUGAUUUCAAAUUGGUUGAAAUUGAUAUCAAAUUUCAAAAGUAACCGCCAUCCACCAAACUGAAAAUUCUAACUUGUCCCAAACCAAAUUUUUCAAGUGCCGCCAUCCACCUCAAAUUUUACGGAUCACCAGCGUGUCUUCUGUCUCAGCCGUCAAUCCUAAACCCUACUUUUCAUCUGCAUCGCACAAGGUUGAGGAACCAUAAACAAUGCCCAUUGGCCCAAACCCGGAACCCUAACUUAAUGGGUUUAGAUCAACGGAGAUGGGAUAUUUCAAGGACGGGACCUUCCUUAUUUUACCUCAAAUGUAAUUCUUGGAAAUCUUCCAACGUAAGCACCUUCUAAGUAAAGAUAUUGUUUCCAAGUGUGACUCUUCAAUCUUAUACGUGCAUAUCACCAUAUCUCAUGUAAUCAUCAUCAGAUGCCAAUAGUAAGGAAUGUAAUCUCAGUUAUAUACUUCAAAGCAAUUAGGACCUCUUUGCAUGAUAUCCUUCCUUGAUCACGUCUUCUUAACUAGCAUGAAACACGUCCAUAUUGCCUUUUCCAUGAAAGAUCUUCCAUGCUGCUCAAUAUCGGUAACCAAACAAUCAUCCAUAAUAUUUCAAGGGGUGAGGUUGAGUCUACGUAGUCAUGAUUUGCCUAUACAAUUGCUCAUGAUUUAGGUAGACCUAUGUCAUACAACAAGUGGACUUAUUUUACAAUUUUUACAAUUUAUUUUCCUUAUUUUUUGGAAUUGGUAAGGUCAUGAUUUGCCUAUACAUUGCUCAUGAUUUAGGUAGACCUAUGUCAUCCAACAAGUGGACUUACCAAUUACCCAAGACGGCUGAUCAAACCCCAAGAUGUCUGAUCAAAGCCCAAGACGUCUUAUCGGUUAAAUCGAGUUGGUCACCGCAUUAUUAUUACCGCUUCGUAAACAAGCUUGACUAUUCGAAUGGGUAAGACUUAAUGCAACCUUGCCUUUUCACUUGCCUUAUAAUGUCACAUCUCGACCCUUAAAUUUUUUUACCUUAUUUACUAGCUUAGUAUUAAUAAGAAUUUUACCGUCUCCAUCAAUAAGUUAUGGUUUAAUUGGUCCCUAGAGGGGUUUUGAGGGACGAUUAUUUCGGAGAAUUAUUCGUAGGAGAAAAAUUUGACGACGGUAAAAAUGGUAAAUUUUAGCUAGUAAAAUGUAAUUUUUAUUAGGGUAUUAUUUUUUCGGGGUAUUUUAUUUUGGAGUGGGUUGGUAUAAGGGUGUUGGACCGGGUUGGUGUGAGGCCCAAACACCAUUUCUCCUCUCUCUCUCUUCUCCUCUCCCUCCUGACUUCUCUCCCGACCCGGAAACUUUCCGGCCGCCGUUUGCUGCAGCCCGCCGCACUGGUCUCGUUCGGUCGGCUUUUAACCCAGCUAUCUCCCUGGACCGGUGGCAGCUCCUCUAGCGCCGCUGUGAGGGAGUUCUCUCCCCCGAAAGCCCUGGCUGCCGUGAUGGUUUCCACGCCGGAGCUCCCUCCUUCGGCCACCAUAGCAGGAGCUGCUUGAGUCUUUUGGAAGCUCUCCUCCCGUGCAUCAAUCCCUCCAAAGGGCUCAACCUCUCUUGGUCUAGAUAAGGAGAACCGAUGAGUGGAAGUUCUGGGGCUUUUUGUGAUGUUUUUGUUCGAUUGACCUAGUUAGGCUUGGAAUUGGUGUUUGUGCUAGUUAGGAAAGUUGUAGAGGGGGCUGAGAGGAAGCUGUUGUUGAAUUUUGGUAGGCAUUGGAGGUCGCCGGAGUCGGCCUCCUGUCGCCGCUACCGGUGGAGCGAGCGGCGGCACCGCCACUGUUAAGGGGGUUUUCAUGGUUUUAAGUGUGUUAUAUUAAGGGGAGUUUAUUAGUAUGAAUUAUGGAAUUUUUGGAUGAGUUUUGGAUAGGUUUGUGAAUUUCCGAAGUUUGGUAAUUUUGGCGGAUUAAUAAGGUAGAAUCCGGCCGUUGGAUUAAAGUCGUAUAAUCUGUGGAAGGGUGUAGUUUAGGCUGCUGGUUUUAGUGUGGAGGUGUGGACCGAAUCGAAGUUAGGCAAUGAUGAGCGAGUAUGGGUCUCGGUUAAUUUUGCCUAUUUUGUUUAAAUAUUGGAUUUUUAGUUGGGAAAUUAAUUAUAUAUUUGUACCAGGGUUCGAGGAAACCUCACUGGAGUGGCGAUUUGGAUUUCGUCGGGCUUAUGCCUAGAGUUGUGAGAGGACCUUUGUUUUAAUUGAAAAGCAUGCGAUGAAGUAUUUUGUUGAUCAUUUAUUUCUUCUGAUGAGACUUAUUGAUUUCUCGGUUAUUUGGCAAUUUUUCCUCCUUUGGAGAGUUUCCCGAAAAUGAGAUUUUCGGUGGAUAUGUAUUUUGGAUGUUUAUGAGUAUAGCAUGUAUAUAAAUACUAGCUAGCCAUACGUGCUUGGUCCGUCAUAAUGAGGUAAAAUACCAUUAUGGCGUGACGUGAGUGUUAGACACAAGCGUCAUAAGCCUAUAUGAAAACUACUUUCUUUUCUGGUUUAUUCACGUUUUCAUAUACGGAGUCCACACGUAUAUAUACACCGUCCUCUUCGGUCAUAAUGAGGAAAAAUUCCAUUAUGGCGCGACGUGAGCGUUAGACCCAAGCGUCGUAGUCUUGUAUGAAUUUCUAUUUUUCUAAUUUGUUCAUAAAAUUCAUAUAAGGAGUCUGACGAGUGUAAAUACAUACACAUAUAUGUUUAUAUAUAGUUUAGCCUAAGAGGCUCCAUUUUAUUUGAGUUGGUGACUAGCCGGAGCUAGUCGUGAAAUUGCCAGUUUAUGAGUUGAGCGCUUUUGAGCGAUCGCAUGCAGUAUAAUUUCUUUGGAAAUUAAAAUGGGAAUGCAUAAAUAUUUUUAUUAAUUUAUUUUUGUCCACUCACUCGAACGUGUUUCAAAUGUUUUCCCCUAGGCUCUUCGUUUUAAAAAUGCCCAGUUUGCAGGAUUGAAUAGUUGAGGUCGGGCGUACAUAGAGAAGAGGUAUAGUCAAUAGUAUAGCUUCCGCUCAUUAUAUUUUUUUAGUUCAUCUCCUUUCAAAUAGAAUUGCUCUGAACUGUGGUUGUUGGUUAUGAGAUUAAAUUGUUAGAGUUAGUAAUUAAAUUGGGAGAUGUUGUGAUUUGGGGAGCACGAAGGCUCCAGGAGUAGAGGGUUGUAGAAGGAUUCUUUUGAAGUGUGUGCAGGUAUUUCUAGGAAGGGUCGUCCAUCUUCAAGAGAGGUUAUGUCGAUUUUUCGGUAAAUUUUCCUUGGAGGUGGUCCGCGUAGGAUUUACUUCGGGUUUCAGGGUGAAAUUCGGGGUGGGUCUUGACAUAUAACCUCCUUUGAGUGAAACUUUUCCACCAAACCGCUAUCACCCAGUUUCCAGCAAACCAGAUAGUACCUUUCAAGCCAAACUUGUCAAUGGCAAACACAGCUCCUUCUCUUCCUCUGUUCGUAGCCAAGGUAACAAAGCAGGGGUCAAUGUAACUGAAUUGGUACGAGUGCUCAUUAUCUCCGGUUGCAUUUUUUAAUUUUUUUACUAAACCAUCUACCAAUCAUAAUCAUUUGUUUGACGUUGCAGGAGAUACCCUGGUCAUUUUCCGACAAAUACAUGGUCGGUGAUGUCGAAAAAAAAGGUCUUAUCUACUUAGACGGUUAUCCGAAAGACUGGCCAUUUUCUGUGAAACGGGGUCAUGAGUGGGUUGAGUUGCGCAAGGGAUGGGGUGUAUUUGUGAACGAGGUUAUACAGAACAAUUCUGAGGCCUACCUUGUGGUGGAUUACAUGGGAGACAUGCAAUUCAAGGUUAGGGCAUUUUACUCGGAUGGAAACAUUGUCAUUGACGUUCCCCUUUGCUUGAGCCGUCUACCUGAGCAUGCCUUUGGAUUUUACAGAGUACCGAUUUUACAUAGGACCCCGUCCUGAAUUCUGUAGGGGUGCCACCCAUGCUUCUGAGCGCCCAAUGGUAACUUUCUUCAACUUUCACUAUUGCAUUGAAGUUCCAUUGUGGUUUGUCUUGAGAGUGUUCUUAUUAUUUUAUGCAUGUUAUUAUUAACAGAUCAAUGCUCACGGACCAUUCCACAAACAACUUCUUGAUGUCGGAAUGGGUCUGUUUGAGUUUCACCUAAAGGUGACGCCGACGAUUAAAACGGUCGUGCAGUUUACUCACACAAACAGAAACUAUAUUGAGUUCGGCACCGGGUGGAACACCUUUUUGGCGUUGUACGGGAUCCAAAGUGAAGAUUUCACUAUGCCAGAUAAUGCAUCACACGAUAGGGAAAAAGCAUCGUGUGUUAAAGGUCAAAUCCGUUGUUAAUCUGAUCGUUGUCUGAUCAACAUGUCAUACAACGGCUCUGACUAACUGACACACAACGCUACAAUAAAAACCAUUGUGUGAUUCUCGACAGAUAUCAUCGACAUAUGUUGAUGAAUUAUGUCGAGAAUCACACAAUAGUUUUUGUAGAAUAUUGUUGUGUGAUUCUCAGUAGAUAUUAUCGACAGAUGCCGACACAUGCCGAGCUACUUCUCGUCAGCUGUCGAUGAUAUAUGUCGAGAAUCACACAACAGGUUUUCCAAUAAAAACCCUUGUGUGAUUGUCAAGUCACACAACGGUUUCCUUUCAAGAGUUGUUGUGUGAAUAUCAAUAAAUUUCAUCGGCAUACGUCGAGAUCAUUCGGCAUUGUAGUCGGCAACAUUUGUCCACACUCACACAAUAGUUUUCUUGCUGUAAACUAUUGUGUGAAGUUAUCUUCAUACAACGAGUUUUAAGGUUUCAUGGUUGUCUGAUUGUUAAAUAGUACACAGAGUUUUUGCUAGUAGGUAUUGUGUGAUCAAUACUCACAUAACGUAUCAAUGUUAGAAUAUAGUUGUCGGAUCAUUUAGUCAGACAACAUUGGAUUGUCAUUAACUUGUUGUAUGAUGUUGCAUUUCAUACAACGUUGGAUUAUCAUCAUUUAGUUGUAUGAUGUGCUCCAUUGAUGCCCUAAUACCAAAUUUACCUAAUGAACAAUAUUACAAGUGAUAUUUCCAAACCAUCCAAAGCAUUGUUAACAUUCAAACAACCAAAAUAUGAUAUAAAGAAUCCAAUGCAUUGUUAACAUUAACAUGACAUGUAAAACAUAUGCCCAUCAUCCUAACAACCAUUAAAAAUAAGAAAAGCAUUCAAAUACAUGCCCAUCAACUAGGGACAUCAAAAGCUAGCUGAUACCUAGUAUCAAUUGUACUAAAAACAUGCCACAUAUCAUGCAUGAAUAUUGUACCAGCUGAGAAGCACAAAAAAGAUGUUUUCUCUGAACAAGAAGAUAAUACGUCAAUCACGGCUUACUUCACAUACUUCUUGACAGCAAAGUCUGCCCACUCAUUUCUCACCUCAUCCAAAUCUUCCUGAGUGUAUUUGCAGCUGCCUCUCUUGUCCCACUAAAUUAAACAAAGAACAAAAAUUAGAUAUAUAUAUAUAUAUAUAUCCAAUCAAGCCCCUAGAGGCAUAAGCUGUAUAUCUGCUAUCUCAAUCUAGAUAUACAUAUAAACCAGACACAACACUUGGUUUUUCAGUUAUCAUUGUAACUUAACACUGCUAUAUAUAUAUAUAUAUAUAUAUAUAUGAUAAACAUAAUAAACAUAUUAAUAAGAUCUGUUAGUUAAUCUGAGAUUGAUGAAGAUUCAAUGAACCAGACACUAAGAUCCAAAAAGGAACCAUUCCCACUUAUUCAACAAAACACCAAAAAUGAUAGAUCAAAACAAUAAGUUUACAACAUAAAUUCCAUUAGGCAACAAAUUAAUAAGAUCUGUUAGUUAAUCUGUGUAUCCAUACCAGCUAGCUGUCACCCUUUUAGGAAAAAUUAAAAUUAAUACCCGCAGUAAUGAUUGACUGACUUUGCUAACAAAGAUCAGAUCUCAGUCCUAUAAUGGAGAUAUCACUUCAAGUCAAAUACCAAUUCUAAUCAUUUCAUCAAGUCAGGGCACCAGAAUUAGCAGUAUAAUCUUCUGUUUAGUCUGUCUAUUUUGUAGUAUUUGAAUCAUUAAGUUGGUGGGAAAAAAUAAAACUAUUCUAGUCUCUGAUAUAUAGUACUGCUCCAUGGAACUCCAAAUAUAUAAUAAACAUAUUAUUAAUACUUAAGCUCUAUUGAAUGACUCUCCAAAAACAGAUUUUAUAUCUUGGCAACAAACCGUGACGUGUUUUUGUCUUCGAUUAUUUCCCUCAUGUAUCGCAUGACAUAGUAUCCACAUUCCUUGUCGCUUGGUUGGAAAGGCAUGCCCUAAAAACAAACCAUUACAAAACAAUUCCACACAACUAAGAUACACUGAGACAUCUACUACUUAAAAUGCAGAUGACACUCACAGCCAAAUUUUUAGGGAUCAUUGAGCUUCGUCCAUUCCUCUUUCUUGCAGUGUUAGCCAUAGCCAUUGCACUAAAGAAGACAAAAAAAAUAAAUGGAUGUAAGGGAGACUGUCACACCCCGGUUCUUAAGUUAUUUUUAUGGUUAUUUACUUUUGGUAUUACUUUGGUCUUUUACCGUUUUAAGAAACCGUUUAUUAUUUAAGACUCCAAAAGUUGACUUUUUCUUUCAUUUGGAAUUUGGGAAAACUUUCUUCAAGAAAGUCGUAGAGGACAUUAAUAUGAAUUCGUAGACAUGCUAUACGUUACAAUCGGAGUUAGCGUGAAAAAGUUAUCAAAUAAAAGGGUAAAUUUUGAGUUGGUAAAAAGGGGGGUAAAAAUUUAGUGGGUUUUAUUUUUUUGGUGGGUGUUUAAAUUGGACCGGGUAGGUGUGGAGAAGCCCAACACCCACCCACACUCUCUUUCUCUCUCUCUCCCUCUUUCUUCUCUCUCUCUCUCGUGAGAUCUUGGUAGGGAGAAAUGUAUAAUUGAAGUUCUAGGGUUCAAUUUAAGGUUUUGAUUUGAUUACCCUAGUUAGGCUUAGAAUUGAACUAAGUGCUAGUUAUGGAAGUUGUUGUGCGUAUUGAGAGGAUUGUUGUGUUAAAAUUUGGGAAGCAUUGGAGGUCGCCGGAGUACGGUUGCCGGCUGAGCAGGCGGCGGCGCCGCCCCUUAAAGGCAGUUUUUCAUGUUUUUGAGAUGGUUUUAAUGAAAGGGGUUUAAUGAAGUAAAGUUUGGAAAUUUUGGAGGAGUUUUGAUAAGGUUUGGGAUUUUCCAAUGAUUAAUGAUUUUGGCGGUGAUUAGAAUGAAAAUCUGUCCGUUGGAUUUCCUUGGUAUUUAUUCUAGAAUGUUAAAAUUGAUGAAUUGAGGUUUUGGUGGAGUUUGGCGUGAAUCCGACAAGCUUAACCCUAGUAAGAGUGGUGGAUUAAGUGGAAGAGAUUUGAGGGUUUAUAUUCAAGUAUUUAUUUUCCGGAAUUGAAGUUUGGUCCUAAGCAUAUUUAUUGUGCCAGGAUAUGAAGGGAACCUCGCUUGAGUGGUGAUGCGGAUAUCGUCGGGCUUAUGCCUAAAUCUGUGAGUGGACAUUUUGGUUUUAAAUAAAUAUGCAUGCAAGAUUUUUAUAAUUUAUUAUUUUAUUUUCCGAGCGUAUAUUAUAAUUUCGACUUAUGAAAUGAUCUUGGAAUUUAUUUGAGUUUGAUGCAUUGAUUAAGUGUUGGUCAUGAUUUAUGGAUUUGAGCUCGGAUUAUUAUUUUGAUAUUUGAGUUUGGAUAUUCUUUAUAAAUUCCGGAUUUUAUUAUAAUGAUUGUUUAAAUGGUAGACUUUGAGAUUUAUAAAAGAUUUCCGAAAAUAGGAUUUUCGGUAAUUCUCUUUUUAUAACUAUCUCAUUUAUUUGUGGAUUAUCAAUCUUGGCAUUGAGAAUCUUUUAGCGAGUAUUUUCGGAGGGAGGAAUUAUUUACAAUUUAUACUUGUUAAUUAAACUCGCUUAUAUUAUGGAUUUGAGAAUAUUUUGACGUGUGAGACACGUCAUUGAGUUUAUUUUAAUUUCUUAUGAUAAUUUCCAAGAACGGUUGGGAACCGUACCAUUCGUAUGAUCUUGAGGCAGUUUAAUGGAUUUAAAUGAUUUCGUAUGUUUUUAGUCACCAUAAUAUAGGGUUGCUUAUAUUGAUUAUUGCUAGCUAACCAUUAUUAGCGGUCCUCAUCAUAUGUGAGUUGAGCGCUUAGCGUGGGACGUUAUUAUAGCCUGAGAGGCAUCGACCCGAGACGUAGAGGCUCCUUUUACAUGGUGAUAAAUCUUCCCCUUAUUUUAUUCGUCUCAGUUAUGAAAUUAAUUGAUUAACCAGCGGGGCUGGUUUGUCUCUGCUUUCGAUAUUUUUGUAUAUGAUUUAUCAAAGUUUGCGUGCAGCUAAGUUUUUAAAGUUGUAAUUUGGGAAAGUAUUCAAAUUGCGUAUUUGUUAAAUUAUUUUGUCAACUCACUCUAACGUUUUUAAAUUACUUUCCCCUGGGCCCUUUGGUUUUAAAUGCCUGGUUUGCAGGCUAGGUAUUUGAGGUCGAGCGUACAUGGAUUCGAGGCAUAGUCAGAGGCUGCUUCCGUUUAAUCUUUAUUCAUUAUUAUUCUUUCAUUAUUAGAUAUGCUCUGGUAACCAGUUAGUGAAUUAUUUGUCUAUUGUUGGUUGUGGGAUUAUUUUAAAUGAGUAAUUGUUAUAUUGGGAGGUGAGAUGAACAUGGGGAGCAGGAAGGCUCCAGGUGUUGAGGCUGGUAUGUUUGGUUAUAGAAGUGUAAGUUGGAUUUUUUAGGUAAGGGUUGUCUAUUUUCAAGGAAGACUAUGUCGAAUUUUUGGUAAAUUCUUCUUGAAGGUGAACCCCGCAGGAUUUACCUUGGGUUUCAGGAUGAAAUUCGGGGUGGGUCCUGACAGUUGGUAUAUACAAGACAUCCCACUUCUUAUUACCUCAAUUUGCACAAUGAACAGUGGAACUUACUCUUUUACAAUCUUCGCCCAAUCUCCACAUGGUAUACGUCUUCUCGCAGGAUCCAUGAAGUAGACAGUGUCAUUAUCCGGAUCAACAACAGUCAACUCCAGUGAUCGCUACCACAUAAAAAAAUUUCAUAUACAAUAUUUAGCAAACAAUACCCGAGUACCAUUCCCACAGUUCAACCAUAAUUACUAAAACCAUUUAUUUAUACCAAAACUUGAAAACCAGCAUGGACUUACCCCGAGUUAUAUGGCAACAUGAACACUUGACCCGGUUUGGCAAUUGCAAGCCUUUUAGCUAUAUUUUUGGUCCUCUGAGUUCCAGUCCCAUACCCUACUGCACCAAUUUGGGAAGGGUGAACAAACACUACCAUGUCCACCAUUCUAUAAGCUUCCAACUUGCUGUAUAGGUACCUAACAACCAUACCAACACAUUAUCUUUCAGCAAAGCCUACUUAUCAAGAGAAUUACAAUAAAAUCACAAGCAAAAUAUGAUAUUGCAUAAUUUAUACCUCUGGUAAGAAGCAAUCAAGUUUCCAGUGACUUUUCCCAUGGUUGCAAUAACCACAACAUCCUUUUCGGUAAUAUAGCUGCUGCAAAUAUAUCCAAAUACUUCAGGUUCAAUGUUGGAACUGAGUUCUCGACCAUCCUUGAAUACGGUACAUAGUGUCUCAUAUGAUCUAGAUAACAUAGGUGCAAGUUGUCACAUCCCGACCCUUAAAUUUUUACCUUAUUUACUACCUUGGAAUUAAUAAGAAUUUUACCGUCUCCGUCAAUGAGUUAUGGUUUAAUUGGUCCCUAGAGGGGUUUUGGGGGACGUUUAUUUCGGAGGAAUUAUUCGUAAGAGAAAAGUGUGACGACGAUAAAAAUGGUAAAUUUUAGCUAGUAAAAGGUAAUUUUUAUUGGGGUAUUAUUUCGUGGUGUUUUUUUUGGAGUUGGGUUUAUUGUUUAGUGUGGGUAUUAAAUGUUGGACCGGUUUGGGGAGGCCCAAACCAUUUCUCUUUUCUCUUUUCUCUUCCUUCUCUUCUUUCCCGACUCUCCCUCUUCCUCUCGCACUGCUGGAAACCCCCGAGCUCCCAUCGCCGUCGUCCGGCCAAGAGGAGACGCCACACCGGUCCAGCUCAAUCUGUCUCCCUCACCACCGUCUUCCUAGGCUGGUGAGCGGCGCUGCAACGCCACCGAGCGGAGGAAGUCCUCCUUGGAAGCUCGGUGGUCUUCUCGCCGAAACUCUCUCCUCCGACCGCCAUAGCCAGCGAUUCUUGGCUCGUUUGGAAGCUCUCCUCCCAUGCAUCAAUCCCUCCAAAGGCUUCCCUCCCCCUUGGUAGGUAAGGAGAUUUUGGUGUUGGAAAUACUGGGGCUCAUUUGAUGUUUUUGUUCGAUUACCCUAUCUAGGCUUGGAAUUUGUGUUUGUGCUAGUUAGGAAAGUUGUAGAGGGGGUUGAGAGGAAGAUGCUGUUAAAUUUUGGUAGACAUUGGGGUUCCCGGAGUCGGCCGCCGGCCGCCACUGUUAGGGGGAUUUUCAUGGUUUCAAAUGUAUAAUAUUAAGGGGAGUUUAAUGACGUGAAGUGUUGAAUUUUUGGAGGAGUUUUGGAUAGGUUUGGGAUUUUUGAUAGAUUGGUGAAUUUAGCGGUUAAUGGGGUAAAAUCUGACCGUUGGAUUUUCUUUAUUAUUGUUUCAGAAUGUUGAAAUAAAGGAAAUAAGGCUGUGGUUGGAUUUUAACGUGAAUCUGAUAAGCUUAACCCUAGAAAAGGUAGUGGGUUAGGCGGAAGAGUUUUGGGUUAUAUAUUGAAGUAUUAUUUAUUCUGAAAUUGAAGUGUGGUCCUAAGCAUGGUUUUUGUGCCAGGAUUUGAGGAGAACUCACUUGAGUGGUGAUUUGGAUUUCGUCAGGCUUAUGCCUAGAGUUGUGAGUGGACUUUUGUUUUAAAUAAUGUGCAUGCAAAUGGUUUAUUGAUGAAUAAUUUCUUGUGUUGGAGAAUAACCGAAAUUGACAAUUUCGGUGAUUAUAUAUUCAUAUAUGGAUGAUUAUGAGGAUAGUAUGUAUAUAAAUAAAUCCUAGCUAGCUAUACGUGCUUUUCCGCCAUAUGAGGAAAAAUUCAAUGAUGGUGUGACGUGAGCGUUGGACGCAAUCGUUAUAGCCCUAUAUAAAUUUAGUAAUUUAUAUAGGGAACACGUAUAUAUACACUCAUGCUUUUCCGCCAUAAUGAGGUAAAAUUCCAUUAUGGUGUGACGUGAGCAUUAGACGCAAGCGUAGUAGCCUUGUAUGAAUUUCUAUUUUUCUUAUUCUUCAUAAGAAAUCAUACAAGGAGUAUGACGAGUUUAAAUACAUACAUAUAUAUAUAUGUAGUUUAGGCUGAGAGGCUGUAUUUUAUUGAGUUUUGGAGACUAGCCGGAGCUAGUUAUGUAAUUGUCAAUUGAUGAGUUGAGAGCUUUUGAGUUGUCGCAUACAGUAUAUUUUCUAUGGAAAUUUAAAUUGGAAAAGCAUAAGUAUUUUUCAUUAAAUUGAUUUUUGUCCACUCACUCUAACAUUUUCAAAUGUUUUCCCCUGGGCCCUUCGCUUUUAAAAUGCCCAGUAUGCAGGUUAGGAUAGUUGAGGUCGGGCGUACAAGGAGAAGAGGCAUAGUCAAUAGUAUAGCUUCCGCUCAUUUUUAUAUUUCUAGUUCUUUUCCUCUCAAAUAGAGUUGCUUUGAACUAUGGUUGUUGAUUAUGAGAUUUUCUUUUUAAAGUUAGUAAAUAAAUUGGGAGAUGUUGUGAUUUGGGGAGCAUGAAGGCUCUAGGAGUUAGAGUUCAAUUGCGAGUUGGGAACUCCAUGUCACAUCCCGACCCGUAAAUUUUUACCUUAUUUACUAGCUUGGUUAUAAUAAGAAUUUUAUCGUCUGCGUCAUUGAGGUUAUAGUUUAAAUGGUCCCUAAAUGGUUUGGGGGACGGGUAUUUUCGGAGGAUUGUAAAUUUUAGCUAGUAAAAGGUAAUUUUUAUUAGGAUAUUAUUUUUUUGGGGUGUUUUAUUUUGGAGUUGGUGUGGGUAUAUAGGUGUUGGACCAGUUUGGAGAGGCCCAAACCCAUCUCCCUCUCUUUCUUUUCUCUUUCUCUCUCCCAGUUUUCCUCCCGAGCCAUCACCCUGCCGGAACUUCAACCCGACCAUUCGCCGCCGUCCGGCCACCACCUGCCGCCGCACCGGUCCCGUUCGGUCGGCCUCCAACCCGGCCAGCUUCUAUUCUAGGCCGGUGAGAGCCUCCCUAGCUCCGCCGUGAAGGAGUUCUCACCCCCAAAAGGUCCGGUUGUCGUGGUGGUUUUCUCGCCGGAACUUCCUCCUUCGGCCGCCAAAGUCGGCGAUCCUUGGCUCAAAAGAAAACUCCCCUCCCGUGCAGCAACCCCUCCAAAGGGCUCACUCUCUCUUAAGCUAGGUAAGGAGAAAUGUGGAUUUGAAUUUUCUAGGGCUUCUAGGAUGUUUUUGCUCGAUUGACCUAGUUAGGCUUGGAAUUGGUGUUUGUGCUAGUUAGGAAUUUUGUAGAGGGAGUUGAGACAAAGAUGCUGUCAAAAAUUGAUAGGCAUUGGAGGUCGCUGGAGUCGGCCUCCGGCCGCUGCUGUGAGGGAGAUUUUUAUGGUUUUAAAUGUGGAAUAUUUAGGGGAGUUUAUUGUUUUGAAUUAUGGAAUUUUUGGAUGAGUUUUGGAUAGGUUUGGGAAUUUCCGAAGUUUGGUAAUUUUGGCUGAUUAAUAAGGUAGAAUCCUGCCGUUUGAUUAAAGUCGUAUAAUCUGUGGAAGGGUAUAGUUAAGGCUGCUGGUUUUAGUGUUGAGGUGUGGACCGUAUCGAAGUUAGGCAAUGAUGAGCGUGAGUAUGGCUCUCGGUUAAUUUUGCCUAUUUUGUUUAAAUAUUGGAUUUUUAGUUGGGAAAUUAAUUUUACAUUUGGAAACAGAAACAGGACGUGAGGAGGCUCAAGCAGAAGAGACCUCGGAUCGACGUCAGGCUUAGGCCUAAAGUUGUGAGUGGACCUUUGUUUUAAUUUAAAAGCAUGCGAUGAAUUAUUUUGUUGAUCAUUUAUUUCUUCUGAUGAGACUUAUUGAUUUCUCGGUUAUUUGGCAAUUUUUCCUCCUUUGGAGAGUUCCCGAAAAUGAGAUUUUCGGUGGAUAUGUUUAUUGGAUGUUAUGAGUAUAGUAUUUAUAUAAAUGCUAGCUAGCCAUACGUGCUUGCUCCGUCAUAAUGAGGUAAAAUACCAUUAUGGCGUGACGUGAGUGUUAGACACAAGCGUCAUAGCCCUAUAUGAAAACUACUUUCUUUUCUGGUUUAUUUAGGUUUUCAUAUAGGGAGUCCACCUGUAUAUAUACACCGUCCUCUUUGGUCAUAAUGAGGAAAAAUUCCAUUAUGGCGCGACGUGAGCGUUAGACGCAAGCGUCGUAGCCUUGUAUGAAUUUCUAUUUUUUUCUAAUUUGUUCAUAGAAUUCAUACAAGGAGUCUGACGAGUGUAAAUACAUACACAUAUGUGUUUAUAUAUAGUUUAGCCUGAGAGGCUCCAUUUUAUUGAGUUUGGAGACUAGCCGGAGCUAGUCAUGUUUUGGCCAAUGUGUGAGUAGAAAGCUUUGAGCUGUCGCAUGCAGCAUAAUUUCUAUGGAAAUUAAAUCGAGAAAGCAUAAAGAUUUAUUUCUUUUCAAAUUUAUUGUUGUCCACUCACUCUAACGUUUUCAAAUGUUUUCCCCUGGGCCUUUCGUUUUAAAAAUGCCCAGCUUGCAGGUUAGCUUAGUUGAGGUCGGGCGUACAUACAGAUGAGGCAUAAUGAUCAUAUAGCUUCCGCUUGUUAAUUUAUUAUGUUUCAUUUCUUCUUAUUAGAGUUGCUCUAAACCUAUAAAGGGUUGGAUAUGACAUUUGUUUAGAUUAGUAAUUAAUUUGGGUGGUGUUGUGAUUUGGGGAGCACGAAGGCUCCAGGAGUUUAAGGUUGGAUUUAAAUUUUCAGAAGUGUUUGCAGGUUUUAUUAGGAAGGGUUGUCCAUUUUCAAGGGAGGUUAUGUCGAAUUUUCGGUAAACUUUCUUUGGAGGUGGUGGUGGUCCCCGCAGAAUUUACUUCGGGUUUCGGGGUGAAAUUCGGGGUGGGUCCUGACACUCUAGUUGGGAACUCAUAUGUGUGGCAGCAUUCCUUUCAUUUGACCAAUGAUUGAUUGGGUUAUGAUUAAGAUGCUAGGGUGAGCAUCUCGUGCAAAUUUGUAGAAGGUGAAAAGUUUAAUUCAAGCCUUGGAUUUCACUAAUUAUAGUGGGCAAGUGUGAAGUUGUUGUAGUUCGAUAGAAAAUCUUGGCUUCGAGUUACGUGAUUUCUGAGAGAAAAUAUAGUUGGAAAGAAAAUUCGAAGUAGUGGUGUAUUCUUUUUAUGUUAAAGUUAAUUGAAGUGUUAUGGUGGGGUACCUAUAGUAACUCUUAGAGGUACAUUUAUGAGUUGUUGCGGACGCUAAGCUUGAGCGAUUUAGUCACGUGGGAAUUGUGGCUAGUGUUUGAGUUGCAAGGCAUUGCUACAUAAAAAGCUAAAUGUCAAUUUAGAUAAGUCAUGAUUGAAAGCCAAUUUACCGACUAUUUUUAUCAGCAACAGCAAGCAGUUGGGAACAUUUUGGGAUAAUGCUGGUUAUGUCAGCACAUAUUAUGGUUCCUACAACUCUAAUUAUGGAUAAGUUUUUAUCUUUUGAGCAAUUUAUUAAGAUGGUGGUGGUAAAUAUCUCUUGGAAAUGACGGAUAAUAGUAGUCGAUGAAUAGUAAGAUUUCUGAUGAUUUUGGUCUCUAUUGUGGGUUAAUUGAAGUUUGUUAAAGCACUAAGUGUAAUGACUUGGAUUGCUUUUCCUUGGGUUGGCUUUACAUAAGUCAUUGGUCAGUGUGUUGUGACAACUUGUUGUUGUGCCACAGUUGGGAAAUUUUAGAAAUUAAAAUGUAGCGCUAAAUGUUUUGAGUUUCAAGCACGUUUGGAAUAGUGGAGUGAGAUGUCAGUCAUAUUAUUUUAAUCGUGGGGCCAUUUUGGAUUCUUUCGGAAUUCUAGGUGUUGAAGUUUGGUUUCUAGUUUUGUUGAGGGUUUUGGGAAGAUGAUAAAUUUAGAUGGAAUUGAAAAGUAAUAGUGGAGUGAGAGCGGGAUGGUUGUGGUCACUCCAAUUUUACGACAACACCUGGUGAAUUUAUUAUGUGUUAUCAUGGGUAUUCUAUAGCAGUUGUGUGGAGUUGGUGGAAGUGGUAGCAGUGGAAUAAUACCCACUGGAUCAUGGAGCAAGAGUGCGUGGGUGUCCAAAGUAAUUUUUUUAAGCAGUGUCGUUCCAUGUGGUUGAUAUAAGUCUUAAAUUUGUGAUCGAAGUUGGUUUAUUGACAUCACUUUGUUAGCUUUUGGUGACUAUCUACGACACAUCAAUGGGAGGAUCUGUUCACUCACCUUAUAUCUAAUUCGGUGAUGUGGAGCAGAGUUUUGGUUGUUGUGUGUGUGGGAAUAUAUAAAUUAUUCUUGCUGUAGUUUUUGGGUAGCAUCCUCAGAGCUUGAAUUUAGGAAGUGCGAAUUCAAACUCUUUGAUUUGAAGGUUAGAGAUUCUGGUUAGUUUGUCGAAUUUUUUUUAGGCAAAUGAUAAAUUGGUUGUUGUGUCAUAGACAUGGAUCAUGGGUAAAUCCAGUCGUGAUCCCAAGUGAGCUGGGGUUCGAUUAAGCGAAGAACCAUGGAGCCGUAAGUUCUAUGUGGUAAUCUGGAAGUUGCGUUGAUGUGCUGAAUUUAUGGUUUGUGUGAUAUUGUGGGUGUGAUUUAUGUUGUACCUUUAGGGGAGAAGGUUUUCCCCUGUUGACUCAAGAAGCUUUUCGAGUCAAAGUUUAUUAAGAGAUUUAAUAUGACGAAUAGUAGAUAUAUGGAUAGGUUGAACGACGUCUCUUCUCGGGAUCGUAUUGUGGUGGGACCACUUAUUGAUUCAAGUUUGAUUUGGGAGGUCUUGGCUAUUUGGUUGUGUGUUCAUCCGUUGGUGUCAGAGGGAUUAGUUGAAACCACUAUUAAAUGUUGGUUUCUAGUGCGUUUUCGAAAUGAGUUCUAGUGGACGUCGGUGAUUUGAGGAGCUUUUGAGCUCGAAGUUGUGGGACUUGUCUUUCAUGAAUUUUAAGUUAUUUAUUCUGUUGCUUGCGCUGAGAUUAGCCAUGAGCCUUGAUUCUUACUUGAACUUAUAGUUUUCGUUGGAUGGUGAACCACAAAGUGUAGUAGUGGGCCUAUUACGGAAAUUAAUUUUUAUAUUCGAUGGUUAACUUGUUGCUGCAAACUCGGUUAUCAGAGAAACUUUUUGGUGGGGAGCCGUGGCGCCUAGAAGGUGUAGGAGACUUGAGCAUAUCUGAUUUUCAGAUCGUAUUCUGCUAUCAGAUUAAUUGUUAUUAGAGGUAGAAAAAGAUGUGUGUUUGUCGGGUCCAAAGGUUUUGGCAUUUAGAAUCAUUCAUGUGGAACGGCUAGAGUGAGCCGUGUGCUUUUAAUUGUUGCACUUGGGGUCGCGGUUGCACCCGAAUAAGUAGCAUGGCUGGAGAUGUAUGUGGAUUUCAACGUCAAGUUUAGCAUUAUGAAUUGACUGUGCCAAUUUUCGUGGGCAUUAUUAGUCAGUUUUUGCUUAUGGCGAGCAAGGAGGAAUAUCCAAUUUCCACAUGAUAGUCAUGUUUCAAAUUAUCUUCUGGUUUAAGGUAAAGAGAUUAGUGGAGAUAGCAGAAUGAGGAGAGAGUUGGAAUUCCCAUAAGCUGCUAGUUUGUGGUGCUCAAAAUGGUAAUGUAAUAGUUUUGGUGGAGAGACCUAAGUGACGUAGUAUUAAUCUCUACAUAAUGUCAUUUCGAGAAUCGAGGUUAUCAUAUGUUGGUGGACUGGUCACUUAGGCAGAGCAAGGUUGUCUUGUAGACUUGCGAGCGCUUUGACUCCGCGAAAGACUCUACGAAGUGUCUCGGUAUUAGAAGUGAUUGUUGCAGUUCUGCAGUGUGUGCAUCCUUAAAUAUGUUCAAUUAGCAGGUCUUAAUUUUGACCCCUAUGAGCAAGUGGGAAUGCGUGAACUUUAGUUUCCUAGCAAGUGGGCUUCAUUGUCGAGUUGUGAGCAGUGUAAUGACGAGGUUGUUGCAUGACGUUAGGAGAUUUGAGCCCGAUGGUGAUAGCAAAUUUAUGUGUUUUAUUCGGGUUAACUAUUUCCAUUGCUCAGGAAAGGUGUGCAUACCUACGGGUACUCGUACUCUAAAACAUGUAUCACUGAACUCACUUACGUGUAAACGUUAGUGGUAGUUCAACGAAGGAUUUAGAGUCUUUGAGAAGAUUUAAAAUAAUUCAAGAUACAAAUGAAAAGGUUAAAGGAGUCAGAGAUAGACUCAAAGUAGCUCAAAGUAGCCAAAAGAGUAAUAAAGAUGUCCGCAGGAAGGACCAUGAGUUUCAAGUGAGUGUUUGGGUGUUUUCGAAAUUAUCUCUGUCACACCCCGUUUCUUAAGUUAUUUUACUGUUAUUUACUUUGGUAUUAUUUUAGUCUUUUACCGUGUUAAGUAACCGUUUAUCACUUAAGGACCCUAGAGUUGACUUUUUCUUGCGUUUGGAAUUUGGGAAAACUUUCUUCAUGAAAAUCGUAGAGGACGUUAUUACGAGUUCGUAGACAUGCUAUGUGUUAAAAUCGGAGUUAGCAUGAAAAAGUUAAGAUUUAAAAGAGUAAUUUUUGAGAUGGUAAAAAAAUUUAGUGGGUGUAAUUUUCAGUUGGGUUUUAUUCCUGGGCCAGCUGUGGAGCAGCCCAAGACCCACACCCCCCCCCCCCCUCAUUUUCUCUCUUCUCCUCUUCCUUCUCUCUCUUUCUCCCGUGAGUCUCCCCGAGCCUUCUUUUCUGCUGGAUUUUCCCAGCGUGGCCGGCCACCGUCUGGCCAGCCACCAGCUGUCAGCCCACCCCAGUUUUGACCCCCAUCACCUCCUCUCUCUCCCCGGCCUAGCCCCCGAGCCGUUAGCCCGCCAGAAGAGGAGAAAACUCGCCGGAGAUGCCGGGAAGCUUUUUGCCGGAAAUCCCACCUCCGGCCACCAUAGGUCGGAAUCUUUGGCUCAUCUUGUAGCCCUCAUCAAGGUGAGUAUUCUCUCAGAAGGAAUUAGUCUAUUCCGUUGUUGUUACGGAGAAAUGUAUAAUUGAAGUUUUUAGGGAUUUAUGGAAGUUUUGAUAUGUUUGCCCUAGUUAGCCUUAGAAAUGGACUAAGUGCUAGUUAUGAAUGUUGUUGAGCAUGAUGAGAGGAAUAUUCUGUGAAAAUUUGAGAAGCAUUGUCUCUCGCCGGAAUCGCCGGAAUCCGGCUGCCGGCCGCCGCCCCUUAGGGGCAGUUGUUCAUGAUUUUGGGUUUGUUUUAAUGAUAGGAGUUUAAUGAAGUAUAGUUGGGAAUAUUUGGAGGAGAUUUGGUAAGGUUUGGGAUUUAUCAAUGAUAAAGGAUUUAGGCGGUUAUUCGAAUGGAAAUCCGGCAGUUGGUUUAGCAGGUUUUAAAGUCUAAAAAGGUUAAAUUAUGGCUUUCGAUAAGUGCAGAGUAAUGUGAGCCUUAUUAGGUAAAAUGUGGAGAAGUUGGGCAAGAGAAAUGAAAUUAUAGGCUUCCUUUUUAUUUCGGAAAUUUUAUUAAAGUUUUGUCCUGGUUUAGAGGCUUAAUGAUUAUUUAUUGUUCAGGACAUGAGGAGGAAGCCUCGGGCCGUCGGCAAGCAUAGCCAAGCAUUGUGAGUGGACCUUUGAUUUUAAUAUCAUGCAUGCACUAAAGUUAUUUAAUUUCACAGGCAUUUGGAGAUAUAAUAUUUUGUUGGAUUAUCGAGUUCCACUUAUUUUUCCGGAACUCUCUUGCUAAUUUUAGUUGACACGUGGGACGUGUCAAGUGUUUUAUAUUAUUUCCAUGUACAGUUGGGAACUGUACUGUGCGCUAUGAGUUUAUUAUAAUUUAUUUGGGGAAGUGUGGAUCAUUUUAUUUUAAUAUUGUACUUCACCAUAAAAGGGUUGAUAUAUAGAUUAUUGCUAGCUAACCAUUAUUUAGCGGUCCUCAUCAUAUGAAAGUUGAGCGCUUAGCGUGGGACGCUAUUAUAACUUUAUAAGCGGUCCUCAUCAUAUGUGAGUAGACCGCUUAGCGUGGGACGCUAUUAUAGCCUGGGAGGCUUAUUGUUAUGGUGAAACCUCUUCCCUGUUCUUAUUGAUUUAUUGGGAACCAAUGGGAUUGGUUCAUUAGUUUUGUCUAUAAUUAUUUUCGGAAAAAUUUCUAAGAAUGGCAUGCAUAAAUAUUUUCUCAACGGAAAAUAUGGGAAAAGCAUUAAAUUGAUUUCAAUGCUCUAUCAUUAAGUCAGUAUUUUUAUUAUUUAUUUUGUCCACUCACUCUAAUGUUUUAAAUGCUUUCCCCUGAGCCUUUCGUUUUAAAUGCCCAGUCUGCAGAGUUCUGUUCAGCGAGGGUAAGAGGCGAGUCAUAUUUCCCACCUCAUCCAGUUUUCUCUCAUAGGUUACUAGUUAACCUACCUAUGUAUUUCUUUCUUUCCUAGUAGAUGCUCUGAAUAACCAUAGGAUGUUUUAAGUGAUAUUAAGAUUGUUUUCAUUGUGGUUGUGUGCUAAGAGCUUAUGACUCCUCUAAUGAGUGAUGAAAAAGACAUAUUUGGUAUGUUUGUAUGAGAGAUUAAAUUCAUGAAAUUAUUUCGAUUUAUUAUGUUAGUUGAGGUGGUGGAUGUUUAUUUGAGGGAGCGGAUGGCUCCAGAAGAUGUGGAUUAAAUUGUUUUAGAAGUGUUUGGGCUUUGGUGAUUUUUUUCCAGGUAGGGUUACUCAUUUUCAAGGGAGGUUAUGCCAAAAUUUUGGUAGAAUUUCUCUUGAGGUGGGUCCCGCAGAGUUUAUUCCGGAUUUCAAGGGGAAAUCCGGUGUAGGUCCUGACAAUCUCCUUAGAAAGGGGUAGUACGUUUUGGUAACGUGGAAAGCUUGGUUCGAGAUAUAUUGGUCCGAAUGUAUUGGUCCUUAUGAGAUUAUAAAGCGAGUCGGUUCACUUGUUUAUCGGUUAGUUUUGCCUCCUGAAUUAUCCAGGAUACAUAAUGUGUUUCAUGUAUCCAUGUUUCGCGAGUAUAUUGCCGAUCCCUCUCAAGUGUUGCAAGAGCAGCCGAUUAAUUUGAAGAAAAAUUUGACCUUUGAUGAGGAGCUGGUUCAAAUUCUUGACCAAAAGAAGCAAGUGCUUAGAAGCAAAUCAUUUUCCUCUUGUUAAAGUUCUGUGGAGGAGUCAUCAAGUAGAGGAAGCUAUUUGGGAAUCAGAGGAGCAAAUGAGGUAGCAGUAUCCUUAUUUCUUUGAUUGUCAGGUAUGUAAAUUUCAAGGAUGAAAUUUUUAUAAGGAAGGGAGAAUUGUCAUAUCCCGACAUUUAAAUUUUUAGCUUAUUUACUAGCUUGGUAUUAAUAAGAAUUUUACCGUCUCCGUCAAUGAGUUAUGGUUUAAUUGGUCCCUAUACCUAGAGGGGUUUUGGUGAAUUUUGCCGUUAAUGGGCUAGAAUCCGACCGUUGAAUUUUCUUUAUUAUUGUUUUAGAAUGUUGAAAUAAAGGAAAUAAGGCUGUGGUUGGAUUUUGGCGUGAAUCCGAUAAGCUUAACCCUAGAAAGGGUAGUGGGUUAGGCGGAAAAGUUUUGGGUUAUAUAUUUAAGUAUUAUUUAUUCUGAAAUUGAAGUGUGGUCCUAAGCAUAGUUUUUGUGCCAUAAUUUGAGGAGAACUCACUUGAGUGGCGAUUUGGAUUUCGCCGGGCUUAUGCCUAGAGUUGUGAGUGGACUUUUGUUUUAAAUAAUGUGCAUGCAAAUGGUUUAUUGAUGAAUAAUUUCUUGUGUUGGAGAACAACCGAAAUUGAGAAUUUCGGUGAUUAUAUAUUCAUAUAUGGAUGAUGAUGAGGAUAGUAUGUAUAUAAAUAAAUGCUAGCUAGAUAUACGUGCUUUUCCGUCAUAAUGAGGUAAAAUUCCAUUAUGGUGUGACGUGAGCGUUGGACGCAAUCGUCGUAGCCCUAUAUAAAUUUAGUAAUUUAUAUAGGGAAUAUGCACGUAUAUAUACACUCGUGUUUUUCCGCCAUAAUGAGGUAAAAUUCCAUUAUGGUGUGACGUGAGAGUUAGACGCAAGCGUAGUAGCUUUGUAUGAAUUUCUAUUUUUCUUAUUCUUCAAAAAAAAUCAUACAAAGAGUAUGACGAGUGUAAAUAUAUACAUAUAUAUAUAGUUUAGCCUGAGAGGCUGUAUUUUAUUGAGUUUUGGAGACUAGCCGGAGCUAGUUAUGUAAUUGUCAAUUGAUGAGUUGAGAGCUUUUAAAAGCUGUCGCAUGCAGCAUAUUUUCUAUGGAAAUUUAAAUUGGGAAAGCAUAAAUAUUUUUCAUUAAAUUCAUUUUUGUCCACUCACUCUAACAUUUUCAAAUGUUUUCCCCUGAGCGUUUCGUGUUUAAAAUGCCCAGUAUGCUGGUUAGCAUAGUUGAGGUCGGGCGUACAUGGAGAAGAGGCAUAGUCAAUAGUAUAGCUUCUGCUCAUUUUUAUAUUUCUAGUUCCUUUCCUCUCAAAUAGAGUUGCUCUGAACUAUGAUUGUUGGUUAUAAGAUUUUCUUUUUAAAGUUAGUAAAUAAAUUGGGAGAUGUUGUGAUUUGGGGAGCACGAAGGCUCUAGGUGUUUAAGGUUGGAUUUGGAUUUUCAGAAGUGUAUGCUGGUAUUAUUAGGAAGGGUUGUCUAUUUUCAAGGGAGAUUAUGCCGACUUUUUGGUAAAUUUUUCCUUGGAGGUGGUCCCCGCAGGAUUUACUUCGGGUUUCAGGGUGAAAUUCGGGGUGGGUCAUGACAGUUGGUGUCAGAGUAUUAGGUUAUUUGAUUCCUUUCUCUUUUUAGUACUACCUUAUAUUUUUGGUCAUACUUAGUGUCUAUAGAGUGAUGGUCCGACCGUGGCGGAUCCAUUAGCAUAUUAUGCUUUAGACACUAUGUGUUGAUUAGGUUUGUAAUGUAGUUAUUCUUGUCUUAUUUAUGGACAAUAUUGUGCCAUAAAUGUCCAUAUCUCUAAGACUAUGCCUCCGUACACCGACCUCUUAAGUAAAUCAUUAUGCUUUGAGUAUUGAAAAGGUGUAUGGAUUAUGCCUUUUCCCAAGGGUUAUUGAGUUGAUAUCAUAAAUUGUUAUAUUUCUUGUUCCUUUCCUCUCAAAUAGAGUUGCUUAGAACUGUGGUUGUUGGUUAUGAGAUUUUCUUUUUAAAGUUUGUACAUAAAUUGGGAGAUGUUGUGAUUUGGGGAGCACGAAGGCUCCAGGAGUUUAAGGUUGGAUUUGGAUUUUUAAAAGUGUAUGCAGGUAUUAUUAGGAAGGGUUGUCCAUUUUCAAGGGUGAUUAUGCCGAAUUUUUGGUAAAUUUUUCCUUUGAGGUGGUCCCUGCAGGAUUUAUUUUGGGUUUCAGGGUGAAAUUCGGGGUGGGUCUUGACACAAGUUCUGCCAAGGUCACAUCAGCCUCCUCCAUUUGGACAGCUAGUUCUAGACAUUUUCUCUUCUUCUUAGAGACUUUAUCCACCACAGAUUUCUAGAAUAAGAAGAUAUAAAUAAUGUAUGAUUACUACAAUCAAGGAAAUACGAAUAUUUAUUAAACAAGUCAGAGGUUCAAAGUAUAAACACUUGUACUAAACUUUUACCUCAUUUGGCAAUAUGAUCAAGUCCUUCGGCCAGGCUACCCAACUCCUCAUUGCAUGCUUAACAGUAACAAUUUCAUCUUCAACAGGAAAAGGGACCUUCGCUUUUUCAUCAAUCGCAUAGUACACAGAAAUACGCCUAUUGUCAUUCCCUAAUGGUCUUCCAUGAAUGACUGCCUUAAGAUCAUCACCUGAUUCUAUUAUUGUGGCAUGAGCAACAAUGUUAUCCACUGAACCCACAGCCAACUUGCAAUCAAUCUCAGGGUCUCCAACCCUAUAAGUCUACUUCUUUUUCUCAAGGACAUUAACAGACUUAGAAGCCUUGUUUUUCUUAGGGUAUUCAACUGACUCAGAAUUCUUCUCUUCCUCAAGGGCAUCAACUGAUUCCAAUUUCUUCUUCUUGCGUCCUUGCAAUCUUAUUCAAAACACCCUUAUUAACUGCUUCCUUUACAGGCUUUGCUUGUUCCUUUUCCUCUUGGGGAGGCACUACUUGUUCCUUUUCCUUUGGGGGCAGAGGGAGUUCAUUUUCUUUUUCUUGAAAUAACGAUUUUUGGCGUGUAUUUUCAGCUUCCAGGUUUGGUACCGAAACACCCUCCUCCAUUGUGUGUGAACUUCCUUGACCAAAAAGAAGUGUACUAUGCUUAAUGCCAGCCCUAAAAUGUCCUGCUAGCAAGUUUGCUGUGAACUCUUCAAACUUUGCCUCCUAACGCUUUGCCUCUUCUGCCUCAAUUUCUUCCCUUAUUUCCUCCCUUAGUUGCUCCUUUGCUUCCUUCAAUAUCACUGGUUUUGCUUCCUCUAUUAUCUUUUUACUGUCCUCAUGCAUUAUCUUUCUCAUCCUUGCUUCAAAGUUCUGCUUCCUAAGAUUUGGCAGUCCAAAGUACUCAUGCGGAGUAAUAUGACCUCCCACUCCACGCACUUGACCACUGUGCUCAGGGGUCUCCAACGCCUAAGUCAGAAUAUCAUUCAUACCCGCAACGGUCCUUUUUCCUUCAUCAACCUCUUUUCUAACUUCAGCCUGACAACAAGAGUUACCAAUGUAAGCAAUAGAAUAACAUUUAAAAGCUGCACACAUACAAUUCAAACGACUAAGAACUUACCACUCUUUCAACAACCUUUUUUGUCUCUUCAUCUGGUAUUUCCCCCUCCUUUGGAAUACGCCCUCGGACCCAAGUUAUAUCUCUAUCAAUUUCUCCUUCACUUGGAACCAAGCCUACACUUUCUUCACCUAGUUCCUCAAUCUACAAAAAUGGAUUUUUGAAUUAGAACACUAUCACAAGCACAAAACAAAACACAUCUUGACUAUCUAAUGUUAAUUUACUAACCACUUCUUCUUCCACUCCUAUAUAACCCUUACAGGACAUUCUAUGUGGAUACUUGUUCUUCUUACGCCUUUUUUGUUGUUGUUCACAUUUUGCCUGCAAAAUCCACCACUCACUUAAAAAAAUCCAUGAUAUGGCAAAUCAGAUCUACUACUAAGUUGAAACAAAUUAUGGUAUUAAAAAUAGCUUUCAUACCAAGAAUUCAGGCGUUGUCCGUGACUUGACAAAUAUAGUCCAAUGAUCAGGCGGUAUGAAAGGAUAAUCAUUAGGAGGAAACUUCAGCUUUUCAGGGGAAUCAAGGUAGGGGAUGAUGUAUUUUGAAGUAAGGCGAGACUUGAACUCCCUCCACUUAGUUGAUGCAGAUUGCAUAAUCCUCUUCCUAUGUUCUUCAUCGAUUAUGAAUGGAAGCUGUGUAGUUAAAAUACAAAUGAGUAUGAAACUCUGAUCCACUAAACAGAAUUGGAAGUAAUUCAGUUCAAAAGUUAACAGAAAAAUAAACCACUCAGUACCUGAAGACGUUUCCAUAUUUUAGCUCUGGCAUCCUUUGUUACCCCUUUCCAGGUUUUUAUUAUAAUUGGCACUUUCCUUCGUGCCAAUACUCCCAAGUACGACUACAUUUUCUUAGCCACCUUCCCAUAGGGAGUGCCUCUUUUGUUGAACAACACCAUCCUUUUCAUUUUUCUCUUAUGCUUAGUAAUGCUUGACAUAGUCACUGCAUGCCUUUUCAACAGCUCAAGACCCCCGGUUGGUUCAGCUUCUUUCUUCUUGGACUUGCCCGUCCUCGAGCAACUUGCAUCUGAAGUUCUUGUUGAUGUAGAAGACUUCAAGGACUUUGUCUUCUUGACCUUGAGUCGCUUCUCUUUACUCUUUGACUUGCCUGCUUCGUUUGCAGAUUUCAAAGAUGUCAUAUCUGCACAAAGACAAGUCACAUAGACAAUAAGCACUUAUGCAAUUAAUAUGAAAGUGGAAUCAAGCACUGAUCAUAAGUAACUCAUUACACACUUUAUUAGAAUUAGAAAAAUAAAUCUCCAUAAAAAAAAUAAAUUAACCUCAGUCAAAUAAAUCACUAAGAAAAUACUCAAAACAGAUGAGCAUUAAUCAAAAUAACCAACCAUCAUAUAUCACUAUCAUCCAAAAGAUAACAAUUUAAGUUACUCAUUACAUAAUCAAAACAGUAAGACUCAACACCCUGGAAAUAUCCUCUUCAUUCUCCAUCACUAAUAUAUAUACUUUCCUCCCCUGCACGCAUGUAACACAAAAAUCCUCAUCAGCUAAGUUCUCUACUAACUGUAUAGUGGGCAUUGUAGUCGACAAAGUAGGGUGCUGAAUAGUAGUGUCGCCAAGCUCAUCAAAAGACUCACAAUCAUUGUAAUCAUUCUUGGGGAGUCUCAAUACAACGGACCACAUACAAUCUACAGGGUCUUUCACGUAAAAUAUCUGCUCUACACAUCUUCCCAAAACAAAAGUGUCUUGCAAAUGACCUUUCCUAUUUAAGUUCACCAAAGUGAAACCAAGAUCAUCUACUUUAACACCCUUAUGACUCUCAACCCAGUCACACUUAAAUAAAGGAAACCUGAAAAAAGCAUAAUCAAGCUCCCAUAUUUUGGUAAUAACCCUAUAGAAGGUCAUGUCCUGAGUAACCAUGUUUUUAUCCUUAGAACUAGCUACUUGAGGUGUCUCUGCCACCAAGUAAACCCCACUACUUUGUGUCUUACGAAGAUCAUCUGGUGAGUUUGUGUUAAAUUGCACACCCCCUACUCUAUAAUCCUAAAACUUCGAUACUUCAUUCCUUGGUUUAUCUGCCAGCCACUUCACAAUCUCAGGGAUGUCACAAUCGGGUUCACUAAGCUGAGUAUCAACCUGCAAAUGUAGACAGAAGUUUAUAACUGUCACAUCCCGACCCUUAUAUUUUUACCUUAUUUACUAGCGUGAUUAUAAUAAGAAUUUACCGUCUCGAUCAUUGAGUUAAUAGUUUAAUUGGUCCCUAGAGGGGUUUCGGGGACGAUUAUGUACAGAGGAUUAUUCGUAUAAGGAAAAUACGACGACGGUAAAAAUAGUAAAUUUUAGCUAGUAAAAGGUAAUUUUUAUACGGGUAUUAUUUUUCAGGGUGUUUUAUUUUUGUGGGAGUUAGGUAUAAUGGGGAGUUGGACCGGUUGGAGAGGCCCAACCUUUUUCCCUCUCUUCUCUCCCGUUUUUCCCUUUCCCCUUGAGUCUUCUUCCCUGCCGAAUCGUCCAGCCGACAUCUGCCGCCGUCCGACCAGCCACCGGCCGCCACUCCACCCCAGUUCGGACCCCCAUCUCCUCCUCUCCCUCCCCGGCCUAACCCCCGAGCCGUUAGCCUGCCGAAAGAAGAGAAAACUCGCCGAAGACGCCGGGAAGCUUUUCGCCGGAACUCCCUCCUCCAGCCACCAAUCCGGGCAAGCUUGGUACGGUUUUGUAGCCCUCCAACCCAGCAGCCUUGCCCUAAAAGGACUCACCCUCUCUUGAGCUAGGUAAGGAGAAAUGUGGAGUUGAAAUUUCUAGGGCUUUUAGGAUGUUUUUAGUCGAUUACCCUAGUUAGGCUUGGAAUUGGUGUUUGUGUUAGUUAUGAAAGUUGUAGAGCAUGAUGAGAGGAAGAUGCUGUCAAAAUUUCAUAGGUUUUAGAGGUCGCUGGAAUCGGCCUCCGGCCGCCGCUGCCGGCGGAGCCGCCGCGGUUUGGGAGAUUUUUAGGGUUUUAAAUGUGGAAUAUUAAGGGGAUUAUAUUGAUGUGAUUUAUGGAAUUUUUGGAUGAGAUUUGGAUAGGUUUGUGAAUUUCCGAAGUUUGGUAUUUUUGGCGGUUAAUUAAUGUAGAAUCCGACCGUAGGAUUUAAGUCGUAUUUUGGGGAGGUUGUAUUUACGACUGUCGAGUAUGAUAUCUCAGUUCGGAUCGUUUCGAUUUAAGAAUAUCGAAGUUAGGCAAUGAUGAGCGUAUUUAUGGCUCUCGGGUAAUUUUGCCUAUUUUGAUUAAAUAUUGGAUUGUUAGUUGGGAAAUUAAUAUUAUAUUUGAAACAUGACGUGAGGAGGCUCGAGCAGACGAAACCCCAGAUCGACGUCAGGCUUAGGCCUAAUUUGUGAGUGGACUUUUGUUUUAAAUAAAAUGCAUGCUAGAGUUCAUGGUUGAACAAUAUUUGUUGCGGAAUAUUUUGACGUCAUUUUAAUUUGACAAAUUUUAUUUCUCUUGGAGAGUUACCGAAAAUGGGAUUUUCGGUGGAUAUAAAUAUGUAUUUAUGAGAGAGUAUGUAUAUAAAAUGCUAGCUAGCCAUAUGUGUCUGUCCACCUUAAUGGCGUAGCAUAUAGCCGCAUUAUGGUGUGACGUGAGCGUUGGACGUGAGCGUAGUAGCCCUAUUUGAGUGUUUAAUUCAUAUGGGGGGUAUGGACACAUAUUUAUACACCCGUCUGUCCACCUUAAUGGCGUAGUGUAGCACCGCAUUAAGGCGUGACGUGAGCGUUGGACGCGAGCGUAGUAUCCUUAUCUAGACCCAUGAAUUUAUAUAGGGAGUAUGGACGAGUGUAGAUACAUACAUAUACUAUAGAGUCUGAGAGGCUCGAUAUUUUAUGAGAUAAAAGUUUUAUCGCUUGCGGCAUGCAUUCGAUUUUCUCCUUAGAAAUUAAUUUAGGGAAACAUAAAUAUUUUAUUUAUUAUUUUAAUUUUUUGUCCACUCACUCUAACGUUAUUAAAUGUUUUCCCCUGGGCCCUUCGUUUUAAAUUGCCCAGUCUGUAGAGUUCGGAUUGGAUCUAGUAGGAGGCGAGGCAUAGUCACCCGCAUUUCCGCCAGUUUUCAUCAGUAGGUUACAUGUUUAACCUACUCAUGUUUUCUUGCUUCCGCUAGUGUCUAAUAGCUCUGAAUACUUUGGGAUUAUUGUAUAUUAUGUUUAGAAUUUCUGAAGGAUAAUUAUGUGAUGUUUGGACGUGUUGUUUUAAGAGUGUAAUUUGGAAUUUUCGAGUUAGGGUUGUCCAUUUUCAAGGGAGAUUUUAGAAAUCUUCUCAGAAAAUUUUCCUUGGAGGUGGUCCCCGCACGACUUACUCCGGGUUUCAGGGUGAAAUUCGGGGUGGGUCGUGUCAUCUCGUCCUUUCUGGUCUGCAUAACAUCUGCAUUAACAUGCAUCUCGGUUUCGAAUUGCAGAGUGGUGUGAAAUUCAAUCUGGUUUUGAGGUACUACUUCCUCAACAUGAAUCGAUUCCUCUGCCCCUUCCCUGAUUUCGGGUCUCGAUGACCCGACCACAACUUCUUUUGCAAUCUGGCCAAUCACUGCAGAUUCAUUCACCGAAUUCGCUGCCAAAGGUUUGUUGGAUGCCCCCUUUUUGGAGGGUCUUCCUCGUUUAGGGUUUGCUUCAUUGGCCUUCGAUUUCGAUCCUUCAAUAACUCUGGUCCGACAGUCGGAGAUUGUGUUUUCGUUGCUGCUGCUUGGAAAACGACCCUGGAGCCUACUACUCCUUCUCGUACCUCCCUCGUCUACCCCUAAAUUUUGGCUCUGAUCAACCCCUUAAGUCGGAGGGUUAGUCUUCUUUUUAGGAGGCAUGGUUAAGGAUUCAGAAGGGGAAUCGAGCGUUUCGAAUUGAGGGUUUAGAAUUGACGGGUUCGGAUGUGGAUGCAAGACAAGAAAGAGAGAGAGAGUGUCUGAGUUUGAGAUUGGGAUUGAGAUUCUUGAGAUUUUAGGGGUAAGGUUGCUUCUGGGUUAGAGAGGGAGAGGGUCUGAGUUUGAAACUGGGAGUUGGAAGCUGAGGGAGAGAAUUAUUGAGAUCAGUUAAGUUGGGUUAGAGUCCUUAAAAUUUAAAAUUUAAGUUAGCUAACGGGGUUAGCAAGAGUUAGUUAACGAGGUUAUUGUGGUUAGUUAACGGGGCUAAUGGGGUUAGUUAACAGGGUUAGUCUAUCAUCUAACAGAGUCAUUGCCACCUAGGCGCCAACUAGGCGAGGUAUGCAUUCCUUAAGGCGUGUAAGGGAUCCCAUAUAUAUACUCCUCUUUUUCUUUUUCUUUUUCUUUUUUUGAAUAAAUUGAGUAGCAGAUCUAGAAAAGUAUGUGUAUUUAGUGAAUAAGUGAUGUGUUUUAAAUAUGGGUAUUGUAGGAAAGAUGGGUAUGUGUAUCUAGUAAAUAUAUUAUUUUUUUUUGAAUAAAUUGAGUUGCAGAUCUAGAAAAGUAUGUGUAUUUAGUGAAUAGGUGAUGUGUUUUAAAUGUGGGUAUUGUAGGAAGGAUGGGUAUGUGUGUAUCUAGUAAAAUGUUAAAACAAUAAAGUCAAUAGGUAUGGAUGAGAUGUGUAUCUACUAAUUAUGGAUGUGUUAAUAAAUUUUCUCUAAAGUAUGACCUCUUUCAUUCAAACAAAAAAAAAACUAAUUCUUGUCAUUUUAAAAGUCUAUAUCAUGAAAUCUAAAUAAUUAAAUUCUCAAUCAAUGAAAUUUAAAUUUAUGGAAUUAUAAUUCUCAUGACUUUAAAAUUUCCAUGAAAAUUGCAAUUACUUAAUCCAAACACAACGUAGUUGAAAUAGAGAGUAUUGAUGUAGAAAAUUUUUUAAAGUGACUAGCCAAAAUAACUUUUUAGCUAUUUUAGCUAUAAUUUGACUACAAAAUGGCUAACAUUGAUAGAGAUGGGAGAAAAUCUUCUGACCCUAAUCUCCUUGUCUCCUUCUCUGUCUCCCAUUCAAAUUUUGACAUCUGUCAUUUCAAUCCAACUCAUCUAACACUGAAUUAACUCUGUUAAUCUCUUGUAAAAUGAAAUAACAGUCAUUUAUCUAUCUUCAAGUACGGCUCAAUCUCGAGGGUUUUUCAAUGCAAGGUUUUGCUCUUUUAGUUGGGAUUUGAUGUACGUGGUCAACGUUAGAUUUUUCUUCUUCUUUUGGAUUCAAUUGGUUGUGGUUUGAUUCAAUUUGUCUUCCUUUUUCAAAAUGAAUUUUCUUAUUUGAAUUUCAUCCAUGUGGGUCAUUUUGAUCUGAUUAUGAUUGGGUUCAUGAGUAAGAUUAAUUUGAUCGUAUUGUGAUUGGAUUCAUGAGUACAUAAGAUUUUGAUCUGGGGUCAUUAAGUAAGUUAUGAGAUUAAGAUUUUGAUAUGGGUUCAUGCUUUUCAAGUUUUGGAUUCACUCUCAAUCUCAAGAAUCAUGAUCUGGAAAUUCUUUAAUCAUCUACAGAUCAGGUAGUUUUUUUUCCUUCUCUGGAAUUAGUGAUUCAUUCUCUCUUUCUCAUGAGCAAUUGGUAUUCAUUUCCACAUCCUUGCGUAUGAAGAACACAAGUCUUCAAUUCAAUUUGAUGUUUAGGACUGCAGAUCUGGGUUUGUGGCUUGUAUCGUAUGAACUAUUUUUUUCUCAGGAAUGAAUUUAGUUUUAUUUACUUUUUUGAGAAAAUUAUUUUUGGGUAAAAUAUUGUAUAGUCCUUGUGGUUUGAAGUCUACAUUUGUUUAGUCCUUCUGAUUUUAUUUUAAUCUGAAUGGUCCUUAAAGUCACAAUUUUAAAUAUGUUUAGUCUUUGUGGUUUUAUUUUAAUCUGAAUGGUCCUUAAAUUCACAAUUUUUAAUCCAAAUGGUCCUAGGCCAUGUCAGUAAUUUAACCGAAAAAAUUGACGGAAUGACCAUUUGGAUGAAAAAUUGUGACUUUAAAGACCAUUCAGAUUAAAAUAAAACCACAAAGAUUAAAUAGAUGACGACUUCAAACCACAAGGACGAAACAAAUUUCAAUUCAUGAUUUUUCUUUAACUUUGUUAAGUGGAUGUUAAGGUUGCUGACGUGGAGGAGAAGUGUCAAGAUUUGAAUAAGAGACAGAGAAGGAGAC